rnacentral:rRNA from 1 species
ACAAGCAGCGGAGCGUGUGGUUAAUUCGAUGACUACACGUAAGAACCUUACCAGGGUUUGACAUACAAGUAGUAGGGAAAGGAAACUGGACGACCUUCGGGAGCUUGUACAGGUGCUGCAUGGCUGUCGUCAGCUCGUGUCGUGAGAUGUCGGUUAAGUCCGCUAACGAGCGCAACCCUCGCUGUGUGUUACAAGUGUCACACGGAACUGCCGGUCAUAAACCGGAGGAAGGUGGGGAUGACGUCAAGUCAGCAUGGCCUUUAUAUCCUGGGCUACACACACGCUACAAUGGGAAGGGACAAUAGGUUGCGAAGCCGCGAGGCGGAGCCAAUCCAGCAAAACUUCCCUCAGUUCAGAUUGCAGGCUGCAACUCGCCUGCAUGAAGUUGGAGUUGCUAGUAAACGCAGGUCAGCCAUACUGCGUUGAAUACGUUCCCGGGGCUU